CGCCCGAAGCACUAGAAACUCUCGCCCCCCAUUCUGUAUGGUGGGAUGCUGCAAGAUGAGGAAAACACACAGAGCUUCCCAUCGUUCGUCGUGUGCUGAGAGUGUCUUGUAAGCAGUGAGAAAUUCCCCGAUUCGAGGCGGGAGGAUGGCCAACCUGGGGUACAGUAUAGCAAGGUCGAGGUCAGCCUGAACUGUGUAGCCAGAGGAUCUAGGUCACCCUGAGGCUGUCUCACCUCCAGAGGCCAUCUGCUCUGUGCACGGCAGUCCUAGCAAACCUGAGGUCCUUUCUCAGAGCAGAGUAUGAAAGUGAAAGCAGAGUUACUGGUCUGCAAUGAGAAGUGCCCCUUUCCGCUAGCCGGUGUCCUCCUGCCCGCGGUGCGGUGCGGUGCGGUGCGGUGCGGUGCGGUGCGGAACAGCUGUUUCUCAGGGAAACCAAAUGAGUGAGCAGAAGGCAGUCUGAUAAACAGACCACAGCCGAGGUCACGGGCUGGGGGGAGCCUGAAGAGUCACGAUGUCUAUAUUAUGCCAAAGGGUAAUGAAUGAUACAGAAAGCAAGCCAGGUGAAGUGGACGUGAAGAUGAAGGCAGGAGAGAUUCUUCUCAGCAUUAUGAGACGGAGAUCGCCUCUGUGUUACAGACGAGAAGUGGCUUCCUCUAGUGUGCGCUCGAGCCAUCCCUACACGCUUUGCCUUUCCCCGUGUACCUUUGUGAGUGACCUCUUACAGGGGUGUACAUCGUCCCCAUUCCAGUUUUAAGCCAGGAGACCGCAGGUAGUUACAGUUAAAGGGUUACUGUGGUUUAAAUCCCGACUUUAGUUCAAAUUAGCCGUGUGACCUUGGAAAAUCGCUUAGCCUCUCUGAGUUUCGGUCUGUAGCUGUGCUGCACACUAGAAUAAUGUGAAUCAUGGUUGCAAUUUCAGAUUUUGUAGUAGCCACAUUCUAAAAAGGGACUGGUGAAGUGAGGCUUAAUAUUUUAUUUAACUCAGUAUGCCUGAAACAUUGCAUCAAUAUUAAAACUACGACUUAUGUGCAUAUAUCACGUUCAGAGUCCGCAUGUAUUUUAUGCUUACAGCACAUCCUAAUUAGGACUAUUCGCAUUUAGCCAGGUGGGGUGGCAUACGCCUGUGUCUCGGCGCUCUGGGAGGCUGAGGCAGGAGGGUCGCAAGUUCCCGUCCAGCCUGGGCAACUCAGCCGAGACUCGGUCUCAGAGUUAAAAAUUUCUUAAAAGGGCAGGAAAUGUAGCUCAGUGGGAAGGCCCCGUGUUCAAUUCCCAGUAUCACAAAAAGACAGAACAUAAAACCAAACAAACACUACCCACAUCUCGACAGUGCCACAAGUAGUUAGUGUCUGCCAGUCUGGACAGCACAGGUCCGCAGAAAGGAAGUGAUAAUAACGAGGUGGGAGUUGUUAUAUACGAAAUUCAGGUAUCAAGAUAAAUAUCUGUUGUCUGGAUAAGACAUACGGCAUGAAACACGGG
rnacentral:lncRNA from 1 species